rnacentral:rRNA from 1 species
UGUAUAGCUAGCUUACUCAUCAAAGUCAACAAAACAGCAUUAAAAAUCUCUACACAACUGCAACAACACCAAUCAAAACAUUUUCCCGCCCAAGUAUGUGCGACAGAAAAGGCACUUCAUCAAGCUACAGAAAAAGUACCGCAAGGGAACGCUGAAAGAGAAAUGAAACAAAUUAUUAAAGCACUACAAAGCAGAGAUUAACCC